AAAGGAGCAAUAAGAGCGUAACCUAGAAAAUCUUUCUAUCUCCUCCGCCGCUCCUUUCUUUGUAAAGAACCUAAACACGAUAGUAAUCCGAGGAACGAAGAAGGGUACAGCUUUAGGGAAACCAGCAUGAGAGCCAAGUGGAAGAAGAAGCGUAUGAGGAGAUUAAAGAGGAAGAGACGAAAGAUGAGACAGCGAUCUAAGUAGAAGAUUUGGGUGUUUGUUUCGUGUCUUUUCUUCUUUUCUAUAACCAACUCUUGUGGGAGUUUUGUUGGUUUUGCUAUUUGAAUGUUUUGUUGGACCAAAUCGAAUCUAUGUUUUCUAAUAGAAUUAUGUUUCUUACAUGGAAUGAUCCACAUGAGUUCCUGAUU